rnacentral:rRNA from 1 species
UACGUAGGGGGCAAGCGUUGUCCGGAUUUAUUGGGCGUAAAGCGCAUGCAGGCGGUCGUCUAAGUUUGAAGUGACAGUUUCCGGCUCAACCGGGAAAGUGCUUUGAAAACUGGCCGACUUGAGGGCUUCAGAGGGACACGGAAUUCCGGGUGGAGUGGUGAAAUGCGUAGAUAUCCGGAGGAACACCAAAGGCGAAGGCAGUGUCCUGGGGAGCACCUGACGCUCAGAUGCGAAAGCCAGGGGAGCGAACGGG